rnacentral:rRNA from 1 species
UCCUACGGGGGGCAGCAGCCGCGGUAAUACGUAGGGGGCAAGCGUUAUCCGGAUUUACUGGGUGUAAAGGGAGCGUAGACGGAGGAGCAAGUCUGAUGUGACAAUCCGGGGCCCAACCCCGGAACUGCAUUGGAAACUGUUUAUCUAGAGUGUCGGAGAGGCAAGUGGAAUUCCUAGUGUAGCGGUGAAAUGCGUAGAUAUUAGGAGGAACACCAGUGGCGAAGGCGGCUUGCUGGACGAUGACUGACGUUGAGGCUCGAAAGCGUGGGGAGCAAACAGGAUUAGAAACCCUGGUAGUCCCCGAG